UACAGAGGGGGCAAGCGUUGUUCGGAAUUACUGGGCGUAAAGGGCGCGUAGGCGGCCUGCUAAGUCGAACGUGAAAUCCCCGGGCUCAACCCGGGAACUGCGUUCGAUACUGGCUGGCUUGAAUCCGGGAGAGGGAUGCGGAAUUCCAGGUGUAGCGGUGAAAUGCGUAGAUAUCUGGAGGAACACCGGUGGCGAAGGCGGCAUCCUGGACCGGCAUUGACGCUGAGGCGCGAAAGCCAGGGGAGCAAACGGG
rnacentral:rRNA from 1 species